rnacentral:lncRNA from 10 species
ACUCUAACUGAAAGCAGAGUAUUAAAGAACACUAGACAUCCCUUUUUAACAUCCUUGAAAUAUUCCUUCCAGACAAAAGACCGUUUGUGUUUUGUGAUGGAAUAUGUUAAUGGGGGCGAGAUGGAGUUUCGCUCUGUCGUCAGGCUGGAGUGCAGCAGCACAAUCUAAGCUUACUACCACCUCUGCCUCCCGGGUUCAAGCGAUUCUCCUGCCUCAGCCCCCCGAGUAGUUGAGACUACAGGCGCGCACCGCCACACCCAGCUAAUUUUUGUAUUUUUAGUAGAGAUGGGGUUUCACCAUGUUGGCCAGGAUGGUCUCGAUCUCCUGACCUUGUGAUCCAUCUGCCUCAGCCUCCCAAAGUGCUGGGAUUACAGGCGUGAGCCACCACGCCGGGCCUACCAUGACUAUAUUUAAGAGACUGACAAUAUUUUGGAGAUAAAUUUAAUAUUUUUAUUAGCACAUUUCACUCAUUCCUUUAUUCCUUCUCCUUUCUCUUCCUUGGUUUUGAUCACAGUCAAUGUGAGGGAAAAGUAAAUUUACUGGAAAAGCUAACUGGAAAUAUUUUUAUUGUGGGCUUUCUGAAAUAAAUUUAAUUAUUAAAUAGGGUCUUGUUUGUGUCUCAUGAACUUAAAAUAUUCUUAUUUUCCAAAAUAAAUAAUUAAAUAUCCUUUA